rnacentral:rRNA from 1 species
UACGUAGGGUGCAAGCGUUAAUCGGAAUUACUGGGCGUAAAGCGUGCGCAGGCGGCUUUGCAAGACAGAUGUGAAAUCCCCGGGCUUAACCUGGGAACUGCAUUUGUGACUGCAAGGCUAGAGUACGGUAGAGGGGGAUGGGAUUCCGCGUGUAGCAGUGAAAUGCGUAGAUAUGCGGAGGAACACCGAUGGCGAAGGCAAUCCCCUGGACCUGUACUGACGCUCAUGCACGAAAGCGUGGGGAGCAAACAGG